CAGGUGGUCUCGUGCGCGCGCCGGCCGGCAGUGGCAGCCAAAGCAGUGCCCUCCUGCUCCCGCCGACGCGACCGGAGCAGCUCGGGGCGGCGCCGAGGCCCGGAGCGGACAGCGAGCGGACCAGCGCACUCGUGGGAGCCGCAGCCAGACGAUUCACGGCGGGGAAUGAGCUGACGCCCUAAUAUGGUCAUUGUUACCCGCGUGCUCUGAAAGCCUGCUCCUGUUUGGUCGGCGCCGGGUGCUCUGAAGACCUGCACACGAGCGCCAGUCUCACCAGCCACGUGACGCGCCGCGUCCCAGC